GUAGUAGAAGGGGCACGGACUGCUGAGGAAAGUCUAGCUCACAGAGAAACCUGGUAGACAUCAAUGUGUCUACUGAUGAGGGGCCUUCCACCUUGGUUCAAGUCAUCGUGGAAACCACAAAUUUCCUUGGAGGAUUUACACCCAUCGAGAUCUAAGUCUGGCUCCAGGUGUGGGGACAAAUUUGAUUGAAGCCCAUUGACAGAUGCUAACAAUAUCAGUACCAGUUAAAGCCAACACUCGGAACAGAAGCAGUGACAAUAAAAGCGCUCAACCGACUGCGAGCACCCUGCCAGAGAUAUCUAGUUCAAGUAAUAACACAACAGAAAGCCAGCAACAGAGAUAAAAUGGUCCAAUCCAAUUUGGCAAGCUAAUUUUUCUAAAGCCCAGAAAUUUAUUUUUGCAAGGUUAACUUUUUGGCUUGCUGUCAAGUUGUAGUAAAUCUCCAAGAUAUUGAUUGAUGCCUUCCCCAGAUCCAAUACUUUGCUGCUAUCUAUUUUUCAGACAACACGAGAAAGCUGCCACUGCUCCUGCCAACGACGCCAGCAAUUCAUCCAUCAAAAAGGAAUCAACAAACUCGGAGAGUGAUGACGUUGCAAGACCAGGAGCUACCAAGGAGUCGAGCUGGCAGCUGAGGUAGCCACGGAGAAAAAGACAUGUCGAAGGGGUGAAGGUGUUGAUUCAUCUUCCUCGUCGAUCUACUGCCAUGUUCACCGUAAUCCGAUUACCUCGAAAGAUAAUCCUCCGCCAGGAUUUUGCCAGUGGCUUCACACG